GAGGAAGUAGCUCAGUGGUUAGAGUAUUGGCUUGUCACGUCAAGUGUCGCGGGUUCAACUCCCGUCUUUCUC
rnacentral:tRNA from 1 species